UUGAAAUCUCCCUAACGGGCGAAUUGUAGUUGAUAGAGACGUUUUCGGGGGUAGGCUGGGCACAAGUUGCCUGGAAAGGCACAUCAUAGAGGGUGAGAAUCCCGUCUGUGGUCCAGCUCUGCUCCUAUGUGAUACGUUUUCUAAGAGUCGGGUUGUUUGGGAUUGCAGCCCUAAAUGGGUGGUAAAUACCAUCUAAAGCUAAAUACUAGCGAGAGACCGAUAGCGAACAAGUACCGUGAGGGAAAGAUGAAAAGA
rnacentral:rRNA from 1 species